rnacentral:tRNA from 1 species
GCUUAGUGGUAAAGCGCUAUCCUUCCAAGUUAGACAUGCGGGUUCGAUUCCCGCUGCCCGCUCCA